UCACCGAAGCCAAAGAGGACGCCAUGAAGUUCAAGCACAUUCUGAUGCUCACCCUCGGUGCGGCCGCAGUGGCAGCGCUUCCCGCCAUGGCCCAGGCCGCUCCGCAGCAGGCCGGACAGGGCGCCGCCGCUCAAAAGACCGACGACGCGAAGGCCAAGACCGAAGCCGAGCGUAAGGCCGAACGCCGCGCCGCCGCUGCCGCGCAGAAGCCCAAGGCCGACAGCGCCCCGCGCGAGGAAGAGGAAGAAGAAAAGCCUGCACGCUGACCGCGCGGCCUAGCGGUCAGGUGCCACCGACGCCCCGGCAUUGCCGGGGCGUUCGCUUUUUGGGGUAGCUGUGUAA
rnacentral:sRNA from 1 species